rnacentral:lncRNA from 1 species
AGUUGUUGGGUCAGCGGUUCAGUGAAAAACCGGCGGUUCCUUUGGGUUUUUAGCGGUUCAGCAACAUAGCUAAAAAAUUAAGCAGCUCGGACCGGACCAUGGUCCGGUCCGACGAUUUUUGGGUCGAACCGGCCGGUCCGGUCCGGGUUUGAUAACUAUGCUUUCUUCACCUCUUCGACUAUAAAUACUCACAUUUGCACCAUUUGAAAAGGUAACGCG